rnacentral:rRNA from 1 species
GUCUACAGCCAUGCUACCCUGAACAAGCCCGAUCCCAUCUGAUCUCGGAAGCUAAGCAGGGUCGGGCCUGGUUAGUGCUUGGAUGGGAGACCACCUAAGAAGACCAGGUGCUGUAGGCU